UGAUUUUGUGUAUCUUUUCAUGUCAUAGCCAAGAAUCCUAUUUACUAAAUAGUGAGCUAGAGUGAGUUAAGGGGUCACAUGUCCAACUAAUCUACAGACAAUCACCUGUCCCAGGAUUACAUCUUACAAAGGCUACGGAAGCUAAAAUGUGUAAACAUUUUGUGGUAGACAUGUCUGUUUAAUUGCUUCCCUAUCCAUAAAAAUGUUAUGCCUUGUUUCCACUGGGCGGAACGGUUCGGUACAGUUUGGAAGGGUUAGAAUGGUCCAGCCUAUUCAGGUGAGAGUUUCCACUGCAAGUAGGACCGCCAUGGGCCAUGCAGGCUGUAGACCAAAUGCCUAGCAUGUCAUUUGUUGUGAGCAUUGACGUUUUCCUAUCCGCCAAUCAAUGGAUUGUAUAGUGUGACGCUAGUAGCUCCGCCCUAACCAUACCUUACCAUUUCCUAUGGACCUUCAUCUGAAGGGGGGCCAAGAAUGGUGCGGUGCGGUUCAGUUGUAUGAGCCACUUUCAUAAUGGAAACACUCAAAACAGCG